ACACUGUAGAGUUCUACUACCAUUGCUUGAGCCACUUGGAAUUCACUGGAUUUGGCUACUUCUGUCCCUGGGGGUCUCCUAAAUCUCACAGCCUGCUGUGAGGGGUGGAGGUCCCUUCCCACAAGCACUGCAAAAGACUUCUGCAGACACUUUUCUGACAGCUUACAUCCCAUUCCAGGUCCCAGAACCUUGGGUGCCUAAUGACUCCAUGCAUCUCGUUCUGGAAACAAGCAGCGAGGUCACACAGUACCCUGCAGGGCCACGCUGCCCCUCUUUGUUCUAAAGAAGGGCAUCUGAGCCACAGUUUGGCAGCAGCGAGCACGGGUUUCCUAUCUGAAACGGAACUGUUUUACAGAAACAUCAGCAUGUUUUGCUGUCCUCACACUAGGUCCUGGGCAGACACUCAUACACCUUUAAAUACUGAUAAGGAGAAUAUUAUUACCCCGCUGGUGGCCUAGUCAGAUAAGUUGUUUGUGGAGGACAGCCCGCAUUUCUUUCAGGCUCUCAUUCUGCUGCACCAGUAACUCCAGAUUACAUUCCCGAGGAAAUCAGCCGCCUCUUACUUGAGACUGCAAAGAGCAAUGGACAGUUUAGGGAGAGACCACGAUUAUUCCAACACUUCUCUGCCUUCCUCCACAGCUCAGGAGAAGAACGCUGAGCCAGGUUCCACCAUGUUGCCCCGCUUGAGAGACCGGGAGCUGCUCCGGAAGAGAAGGGCAGAAGCCGAGGAGAAGGAUUCGAUUCAGUGGGCUCUGGGGGAGCAUGAGAGAAGAAAACGGCAGAGGAGAGGUCAAGGUGCCAGGAGAGGAAAGGGCCGUGAGCGCGUCGUGGAACCUGCGCCGCAGCCAAACCCAAAGCCAAACCCUCAGCCCCCGGAGAAGGAGGAACCUGAGCCGGUGUCCUCCACGAUGAUGCAGCAAGCUGAGUCUUCCCAGAUGGAUAUGCAGGACCUGUUCGCUGGUGUGCAGCUGGCAGAUCUGGAAGGGAUACUGGCUUCUGGGAGCCAGAGUCCUCUGGGUGAAGAGGAUAUGCUGAAGCUGGCUGAUGAAAUACAAGAGGUAUUCAGUACUUCACUGGAAAAGAACGAAUCUGAUAAUGACAUGUACCCAUCAAGCCUAUUUUAAAGUUUUAUUUAACUAGACACAUAUUCUUGCAAUUUUUAUCGCUAAGAAAUACUGACAGGCCUUGUAGAGAGCCUUAAAGUUGCUCCUUCCUCAGGAACAAUAAAAAUCUGACUCUCUCUCUCUACUGUGCUUCC
rnacentral:lncRNA from 1 species